UAAGGAAUAUUGGACAAUGCCCGCAAGGGUGAUCCAGCCAUCCCGCGUGCAGGAAGACUGCCCUAUGGGUUGUAAACUGCUUUUAUCAGGGAAGAAACCCCUUGACUUGUUGAGGGUUGACGGUACCUGAUGAAUAAGCACCGGCUAACUCCGUGCCAGCAGCCGCGGUAAUACGGAGGGUGCAAGCGUUAUCCGGAAUCACUGGGUUUAAAGGGUGCGUAGGCGGCUAUAUAAGUCAGAGGUGAAAGGCUACGGCUUAACUGUGGGAUUGCCUUUGAUACUGUAUAGCUGGAAUCAGGUUGAAGUUAGUGGAAUGCGGCAUGUAGCGGUGAAAUGCAUAGAUAUGUCGUAGAACACCGAUUGCGAAGGCAGCUAACUGGGCUUGAAUUGACGCUGAGGCACGAAAGCGUGGGGAUCGAACAGG
rnacentral:rRNA from 1 species